GUGGCGAACGGGUGAGUAACACGUGAGUAACCUGCCCUUGACUCUGGGAUAACCUCCGGAAACGGAAGCUAAUACCGGAUACGAACUGCGAAGGCAUCUUCAGCAGUUGGAAAGAACUUCGGUCAAGGAUGGACUCGCGGCCUAUCAGGUAGUUGGUGAGGUAAAGGCUCACCAAGCCUACGACGGGUAGCCGGCCUGAGAGGGUGACCGGCCACACUGGGACUGAGACACGGCCCAGACUCCUACGGGAGGCAGCAGUGGGGAAUAUUGCACAAUGGGCGCAAGCCUGAUGCAGCAACGCCGCGUGAGGGAUGACGGCCUUCGGGUUGUAAACCUCUUUUAGUAGGGAAGAAGCGAAAGUGACGGUACCUGCAGAAAAAGCACCGGCUAACUACGUGCCAGCAGCCGCGGUAAUACGUAGGGUGCGAGCGUUGUCCGGAAUUAUUGGGCGUAAAGAGCUCGUAGGCGGUCUGUCGCGUCUGCUGUGAAAACCCGAGGCUCAACCUCGGGCCUGCAGUGGGUACGGGCAGACUAGAGUGCGGUAGGGGAGAAUGGAAUUCCUGGUGUAGCGGUGGAAUGCGCAGAUAUCAGGAGGAACACCGAUGGCGAAGGCAGUUCUCUGGGCCGUAACUGACGCUGAGGAGCGAAAGCGUGGGGAGCGAACAGGAUUAGAUACCCUGGUAGUCCACGCCGUAAACGUUGGGCGCUAGAUGUGGGG
rnacentral:rRNA from 1 species